rnacentral:rRNA from 1 species
GGCUCCGACGGGUAGCUGGUCUGAGAGGACGACCAGCCACACUGGGACUGAGACACGGCCCAGACUCCUACGGGAGGCAGCAGUGGGGAAUUUUGGACAAUGGGCGCAAGCCUGAUCCAGCCAUGCCGCGUGCAGGAAGAAGGCCUUCGGGUUGUAAACUGCUUUUGUCAGGGAAGAAAUCCUCUGGGCUAAUACCCUGGGGGGAUGACGGUACCUGAAGAAUAAGCACCGGCUAACUACGUGCCAGCAGCCGCGGUAAUACGUAGGGUGCAAGCGUUAAUCGGAAUUACUGGGCGUAAAGCGUGCGCAGGCGGUUUUGUAAGACAGAGGUGAAAUCCCCGGGCUCAACCUGGGAACUGCCUUUGUGACUGCAAAGCUUGAGUGCGGCAGAGGGGGAUGGAAUUCCGCGUGUAGCAGUGAAAUGCGUAGAUAUGCGGAGGAACACCGAUGGCGAAGGCAAUCCCCUGGGCCUGCACUGACGCUCAUGCACGAAAGCGUGGGGAGCAAACAGGAUUAGAUACCCU